rnacentral:rRNA from 1 species
UUGAACGCUGGCGGCAGGCCUAACACAUGCAAGUCGAGCGGGGUUUUCGGACCUAGCGGCGGACGGGUGAGUAAUGCGUAGGAAGCUGCCCGAUAGAGGGGAUACCAGUUGGAAACGACUGUUAAUACCGCAUAAUGUCUACGGACCAAAGUGUGGGACCUUCGGGCCACAUGCUAUCGGAUGCGCCUACGUGGGAUUAGCUAGUUGGUGAGGUAAUGGCUCACCAAGGCGACGAUCUCUAGCUGGUUUGAGAGGAUGAUCAGCCACACUGGAACUGAGACACGGUCCAGACUCCUACGGGAGGCAGCAGUGGGGAAUAUUGGACAAUGGGCGCAAGCCUGAUCCAGCCAUGCCGCGUGUGUGAAGAAGGCCUUCGGGUUGUAAAGCACUUUCAGCGAGGAGGAAGGGUGGUGUGUUAAUAGCACAUCAUCUUGACGUUACUCGCAGAAGAAGCACCGGCUAACUCUGUG